UUGCAGUGAUCCGACUUGUGAAAUCUGUCAAUCCCCUGAGUGUGAUCAUUGAUGUCUCAAUGUCUCUGAGCAA
rnacentral:snoRNA from 17 species